rnacentral:rRNA from 1 species
CUCCUGGAAACGGGUGGUAAUGCCGGAUGUUCCACAUGAGCGCAUGCGAGUGUGGGAAAGGCUUUUUGCGGCAUGGGAUGGGGUCGCGUCCUAUCAGCUUGUUGGUGGGGUAGCGGCCUACCAAGGCGUUGACGGGUAGCCGGCCUGAGAGGGCGACCGGCCACAUUGGGACUGAGAUACGGCCCAGACUCCUACGGGAGGCAGCAGUGGGGAAUAUUGCACAAUGGGCGCAAGCCUGAUGCAGCGACGCCGCGUGCGGGAUGGAGGCCUUCGGGUUGUAAACCGCUUUUGUUCAAGGGCAAGGCACGGUUUCGGCCGUGUUGAGUGGAUUGUUCGAAUAAGCACCGGCUAACUACGUGCCAGCAGCCGCGGUAAUACGUAGGGUGCAAGCGUUAUCCGGAUUUAUUGGGCGUAAAGGGCUCGUAGGCGGUUCGUCGCGUCCGGUGUGAAAGUCCAUCGCUUAACGGUGGAUCCGCGCCGGGUACGGGCGGGCUUGAGUGCGGUAGGGGAGACUGGAAUUCCCGGUGUAACGGUGGAAUGUGUAGAUAUCGGGAAGAACACC